UGGUGAGGGUGGUCCUAUCUAUGUUGCUGAUGGCGGCGAGCAUGACGACAGGGUUGGCGGGAGAUAAGCGGCUGAGCUACAGUAGAGAUGACUUUCCGGCGGAUUUUGUGUUCGGAUCAGGGACUUCGGCUUAUCAAGUUGAAGGAGCAGCUGCUGAGGAUGGAAGGACUCCAAGUAUCUGGGACACCUUCGCACAUUCAGGUGAUGAAAACGUAACAGCAGAUAUCACCUCUGAUGAAUAUCAUAAAUAUAAGGAAGAUGUCAAGCUAAUGGUAGAGACUGGUUUGGAUGCCUACAGGUUCUCUAUUUCUUGGUCAAGGCUGAUUCCUGAUGGAAGAGGAAACAUAAAUCAG
rnacentral:misc_RNA from 1 species